GGUUCUAUAGUGUAGCGGUCAGCACAUCGGAUUCUGAAAUAUUCAGAAAAGAGAAAUAUUCCGGUAACCCCGGUUCGAUUCCGGGUAGGACCU